rnacentral:lncRNA from 1 species
GGUUUUUAUUCUAUUCCAUGCUUUCAUUUUAUAUCUCAAAAUGAAAAUUUUCCACAAAAUAAUACUUAGAAUACAUAUAUAAAAUAAAUAACACACAAAUGGGCCAGGCUUGGAGCCAUCCUGAAAAACUAAAGAUGUGAAAUCCAGAAUUGAACCUGGAGUCUUCAAGGUUGUAUGUGAAUUCUUUAAAAUGUGGCCAUCUGGUCGAGUUUUUAAGUCUAGCACUAUUGUGCAUCUAAUGAAUAAUAGUGUAAGUAUAUUUUUAGGCUUUUAUAUAUAUAAGCAAAUGAAGAAAGACAGUGAUUCACUUUACAGCAAUGGUGUGGAAUGUAAGUGCUGUAAUAACAAUGUAUGCCUGUAAUUGGACUUUUUUACAUAUUGAGAAUAAUUACAAUUUUUUCAAAUUGAAAACAUUCAUAAAUAUCAAAUGCAAUUUCUUUUAUAAUUUAAUAUGUAUUAUUAUAGAUUUUAGAAAACAAUAUGAUUUAAAAGAGUAUCAAGCAGUUUUUAUUAAAUUUUUCUAUGACUAUGAAAAAUAAGUUAUUAUAAAGUGCAAUAGUAAAAUUAUACUCACUUUAUUUCUGUUAUUACUAAUAUAGAUUUACAUAUUUGAUAUGUAAUUUUUCCUAAGCAAGAUCACCAAG